GCCACAAUAACAAUAGCCUGAAUACUGGCACAGGUGUGUAAUGAAUGGUUUGAAGCUUCCUCUGUGGAGUGAGACUCACUCGUUCAACUGCUUCUUGAGCAAGAUGUCUGUGGUAGGUAGAAUAAUGCUUCUCCAGUAGUGUUCACAUCUUAAGCUCUGAAAUUUGUGAAUAUGUUACCUCAGUGGUCAAAAGGAACUUUGCAGAUAAGAUUAUGAUAAAGAUCUUGAGAUGAGGAGGUUAUCCUGAAUUAUCCAAGGGGAUCUUCAUAUAAUCACCUGGUCCUUAAAAUAGAAAGGGCAAAAGUGUCAGAGUCAUAGAAGAUAUGAUGACAGAAACAGAAGAUCAGAGUCAGAGGGAUAUGAAGAUCCUCUUUGAGACAGAGAAAGAGACCACAAGCCAAGAAAUGAAGGCACCCAAUGGAAACUGGAGAAAGGCAAGCAAAAGGAUGCUCCCCUAAAGCUACCAGAGUGGGAACAGCCCUGCCAACAUCUUGACCUUGGCUCAGUGAAAUCCGUGUUGAACUUCUCACUUCUGAGUUUCUGGGACCUCCCUUGGCUGGGGCCAGGGAGAGGAAGAAAUCAGGAAGGAUCAAGGCCAAGUACUUCAUGAAAUGGACAAGUGAAGAAAAAAUAAGUUGUCUACAUCUCAGCAUUUAAAGGGAUUCAGCAUCACAGGUGCAUCCAAUCCAUACAGGCAAGAAGCCUCUUCCAUCAGCCCUGCCAGCUGAGGAUAGAAGAAAGUGGACAAGCAUCCCUCAGAACCUUCUCAGUGUGUCACCCAAGCACAUAAGACCUGGGAUGUCCGUAACAAAGCUGUCCUCCCUCCAGUAGUUACAGCCAAGAUUCCUGUCCCUCAGCGCUUCUGGGCCUAGACACAUGUCCUCCAGAGAGCCUUACUUCUGGAGGAAAAACAUUUACCUGAUGUGGUUUGUGUGGGCUCCCUAGAGCUCCCAAUUAGCUGAGCAGGAAAGAGCUCUGAUAAUUUGUUGAGUUUACUGCAUUGCUUCUGGGAAAAAGGAACAUUUGCCCACAUUGAUUACCAGAUCCCAUUGUUGUUGCACUUGGGGUAGAUCUGCAUCUGAGGAGUCCCCGGGAAGAAGCCAGCAGCUGGUUCACCGGAGCCAGCCUCCCAGCCCCUGUCAUCAGCAGCAAGAACUGGCUACGGCUGCACUUCACCUCAGAUGGCAACCACCGGCAGCGUGGCUUCAGUGCUCAGUACCAAGUCAAGAAACAAAUUGAGCUGAAGUCUCGAGGCGUGAAGCUGAUGCCCAGCAAAGACAACAGCCAGAAGACAUCUGUGUGUAAGUGUCUGCCUGCCCGCCCGCCCACUGGGCCUCAUGCUCUCGUCAGACCCGCCGGCACUGUGACUGUGGGGAAGCCAGAUGAUGCUGGAUGACUUCCCUUCCCCCACUUCCCUCCAUCCUGGGCUCUGCGCAUGGACACACUGACCCAGUGGCCAGCGAGCAGCCCUGGGCCUGUCCUUUGCUGUCUCCUCCUCCCAUUGUCCUUUUCCCUCUUCCUUCCUCACUUCCCAUUCAAACUGCAGUCCAGGGAGUCAUUACUGCUACAUUUCUCUCUUUAUUUUUCCUUUUGAAUCACUUCCACCUGCUAAGAUAGUCC
rnacentral:lncRNA from 1 species